GCCAGUGUAGCUCAGUGGUAGAGCAACGGUUUCGUAAACCGUAGGUCGUCGGUUCGACCCCGACCACUGGCUCCA
rnacentral:tRNA from 2 species